rnacentral:rRNA from 1 species
AGUGAACGCUGGCGGCGUGCUUAACACAUGCAAGUCGAACGAGAACGGGUUAUAGCUUGCUAUAAUUGUCAGCUAAGUGGCGCACGGGUGAGUAAUGUAUAGGUAAUAUGCCUCUUACUAAAGGAUAACAAAUGGAAACGUUUGCUAAUACCUUAUACUCCUUAUUAACAGAAGUUAAUAGGGGAAAGAUUUAUUGGUAAGAGAUUAGCCUGUAUUGUAUCAGUUAGUUGGUGGGGUAAUGGCUUACCAAGACUAUGACACAUAACUGGUUUGAGAGGAUGAUCAGUCACACUGGAACUGAGACACGGUCCAGACUCCUACGGGAGGCAGCAGUGGGGAAUAUUGCACAAUGGACGAAAGUCUGAUGCAGCAACGCCGCGUGGAGGAUGACACAUUUCGGUGCGUAAACUCCUUUUAUAUGAGAAGAUAAUGACGGUAUUAUAUGAAUAAGCACCGGCUAACUCCGUGCCAGCAGCCGCAGUAA